GAUAAUGCAGUUGAACGGAUUAUCCGAUUUUUUUGCUCUAUUUUUUGAGUAGAACGACAUUUUUUCUCGUUUUCUCCGCAAUAGAUAGAAGUGAAAAAUACAUGAUGAGGAUCAUGUACAAGCUAUGCUAAUGGAGCAGAUUGACUGGAAUGGACGCUUAUCACUUCGCAGCGACAGCAGAUUUAAAAAUAUUCUAUAAAACUGUGUGAGGACCUGCGAUUAUGACAGAGGCGUUCGUGUAGCUGCGUCACCAACGCUUGGCGCUAGUAAAGUCUUCUGUAUAUGCGGUUUUGCUAUUAUUUUUAAAUGAUUUAAAUGAAAACGAAU